GCCCGCCUAGCUCAAUCGGAUAGAGCGUCAGACUUUUACGUUUGUAGGCGGUAGCACGUUACAUCACGUGAUCUGAAGGCUGCGGGUUCGACCCCCGCGGUGGGCU